AAAUAAUGGUAAAAAUAUAAUCGACCCAUUACGCACUUAUCGGAAAAUAAUUUAAUUCUUUAACGUUAUAUUAAUUAAUUACAUUCAAUAAUAUAAAUUUCGUACAAAUAAACAUGGGAAAAUCGUUUCUAUUUUUGGUUGGCAGUCAUUACGCUCACCGCCGUUACGUCAUGGAUCCGGUGACGUCAUUAGAGCAGAACUUCAACGAAAAUAAAUUGAUUUAUCGUUUUGGAUUUCGAUCGGUGCUGAAUACAACGGGAACCAUCCACUUUAAGUUCAUUUGUUGGAAAAAAAAAUACUUCCAAUUGGUUUCAAUUCUUUUAGUUUGUACAACUUUGCGACGAUGAAAUGAUGACCAACAUUGUUUGGCCAGCCAGCUUGUUGAAAUAUCGGGUCAUAUAUUUUUCUAAGUGACUCUCCGAAAAUGAGAUUGUAGCGAUAGAGGCCUGGACACUGUUGGAGUGAUCUAUAGAAUGAUCUGGCAAAUAACAUCCCUUCACCACUAAUAGCUAAUACUACCAUCUCUCAUUAGAACGGGCGACAUAUUAGGAACAAAUGAUGAAUUUUUUAUAAGAAAUGAAUAGUUGAUACGUUUAAGAAACAACUAACAAUGCUAGAUCCAUUCUCCUGAUUCUCGGUAUUACUUUAUAAAAGAAAGACACUUAAAAUUUUUCUUCAGAUAAUAGACAGUUCAAAUAUCACUAAUUAGUUCAUACGUACGGAUUUACAUACAAGAAAAGCGAUUAUGCAUUAUUAAUAAG
rnacentral:lncRNA from 1 species